rnacentral:rRNA from 1 species
GGGUGCGAUCAAACCAACGUCAAUGUAUCGAAUCCCAUAAGAACUCCGCAAUUAAGCGUGCUUGGGCUAGAGUAGUACUGGAAUGGGUGACCUCCCGGGAAGUCCUAUUGUUGCACCCU